rnacentral:rRNA from 1 species
AGAGUUUGAUCAUGGCUCAGAACGAACGCUGGCGGCGUGGAUAAGACAUGCAAGUCGAACGAGACUUUUCGUUGUAGCAAUACGAUGGAAAGUUUAGUGGCGAACGGGUGCUUAACACGUGGGCAACCUGCCAGGAAGUGGGGGAUAGCUCGCCGAAAGGCGAAUUAAUACCGCAUGUGAUUAGAGAGGACAUCCUUUCGAAAUUAAAGUCGGGGCAACCUGACGCUUCUUGUGGGGCCCGCGGCCUAUCAGCUAGUUGGUGAGGUGACGGCCCACCAAGGCUUUGACGGGUAGCUGGUCUGAGAGGACGACCAGCCACACUGGGACCGAGACACGGCCCAGACACCUACGGGUGGCAGCAGUCGAGAAUUUUUGACAAUGGGGGAAACCCUGAUCGGGCGACGCCGCGUGGAGGAUGAAGGUCUUCGGAUUGUAAACUCCUGUCAUUGGGGAACAAUGCACAGAUAUUAACUGUAUUUGUGUUGAUAGUACCCGAAGAGGAAGGGACGGCUAACUCUGUGCCAGCAGCCGCGGUAAUACAGAGGUCUCAAGCGUUGUUCGGAUUCAUUGGGCGUAAAGGGUGCGUAGGCGGCGCGGUAAGUCGGGUGUGAAAUCUCGGGGCUUAACUCCGAAACUGCAUUCGAUACUGCCGUGCUUGAGGACUGGAGAGGAGACUGGAAUUUACGGUGUAGCGGUGAAAUGCGUAGAUAUCGUAAGGAAGACCAGUGGCGAAGGCGGGUCUCUGGACAGUUCCUGACGCUGAGGCACGAAGGUCAGGGGAGCAAACGGGAUUAGAUACCCCAGUAGUCC